GGCUUCGUGGUCGAAUGGUAACGACACUUGUCUCUCACUCCGGAGUUCCGGGUUCAAUUUCCGGUCAAGGAGCUCG